rnacentral:antisense_RNA from 1 species
AGAAGACGCUAGGUGGGCUGCGCGCUCUGCCAGGCGAAGGCUGGAGCGCAGACGGCAAAGCCGCGCGUUUCAGCCGUGGUCGGGUCCGCAGGACCUGGGCGUGGGGACACCACCAGGCAGGAGCAGAGGCAGGACUGGGACGCCAAAAGCUGAGAAUCCUCGAUGCCCGCGCGAGAGCCCCGUGUUAUGGCGAGGUGGGACAACCCUUAGGCUGGAGAUGCGCGAGGGAGGGAGGUCUGAGCGCUCCGAAGCUCCGGAGGCGGCUGCAGCUGGAUACACCUCACUGGGAUGCGCUUGUGGCAGAGCCUUAGUAGGGAAGGUGGUGGCGUUCUUGUCCUUGCAGCUCAGAGUUCAGUGUCUGGAGAGCGCAGAGAGAAAGAGCCCCAAGUCUCGAGGAAGCGUACCCCUCGCCAGAUCUCUUGGUGCACCUGCGCCCCUGUCCCUGGCCUUUUCGAGGAUGCCCCGAUAGCCUGCCGGGUGGCUCUGAGAAAGUCAAUUGCUUUCUGCAAUGCCAGAAGAGGUGGUUUUAUAUAGUCAGUUUGUAAAAGAGAAAAAUAGAUAUUCUAGCGCAUAUAGGGAGGCAAAAGAAAAAGCCCGCCUGUGAAGCUGUCAAGGUCCUCACAGUACAAUUUUCUCUCUGCCUCAGCGCCUCCUCCUCCCCUUUCUGGAGGCUGGGAAGUUCAAGACCAAUGCACGAGAAUUUGGUCUAAAGAGAAUCUUCUUGCUCUGAACACACAUAGUAGAAGGCAGAAGGGCAAGAGAGAGAACAAAGUCUGUGUCUCCACAUGGCAGAAGAGCAGAGGAGACAGAACCUACUCCUCUAUGGCAACCACCCCAUCAAUGACAAAAAUCCUAGAAGGAUGUAUGUAUAGGAAGUUGAAGUGUUGAGAAGAGAAUGGCUCAGAGUCAAGCGGGAACAAGAUUCAAACUUCAGAGAGAGAGGGAAGAAAAACAUUUAAAUAUAUCUGGCAUAAUCCAAGACUAUUUACGACAAGUGUUCUGUGUUUCUAAUAAUAAAACAGACUUCACCUCGGAGUACCUGCAGAACUGGGACCCCAAUGACCAGGGAGAAUGAAGAACAACUUGUUGAAGUUCUAUAUCUGGAUAAAGUGCGAAGGAGCUUAAAUCUGUUGAAACCCAAAAUUUGCCUCCGUUUAAUGGCUUAGCUCCAGAAGCUAAGCAGUCCAAGAUCAAAGUGCCCACAGAUGCAGUGUCUGGUGACAGCACUUUUCCUGGCUGAAGUUAGUUCGGCAUGAAGUUAGCAUAUUUCUUUCAACGGCAGGCAAAGCACAGAGUUCUACCAAGCAGAUAAGACACCGUGAGGAUGAAAAUAAAAAUUUUGUAUUUGCAACAAAUGUGUAUUCUGCAAGUGAAAUUGAACCUGUCUUCUGAAAGUUAAAAAAUUAGGAUAUUUCAUCUUUGUACAAAAAUAUACAAAUAUAAGGCAGGAUAGAAGGAGAAUAUAGAGGAAAGACACAUGCAGCUACCUAUCUUUGUCAUCUGAGCAUAAGUGAAGGAUAAAAUGUUACAAAUACAAAUAAUUUAUCACAAAUAUGCUUUGGAAUGUUUUCAGUGUGUCAGGAUUGAUAUUAACCUGCACAAGAAUGCCUAAAAGCAAGAUUGGGAAUGAAAAAUUGGCAAGACAUUAUAAUGAAACACCAGUUUCCUUUGUUCAAGUUGCCUGGAGCCCUUUAUCCAUCUUCUGGCCUUACCUCCUCACUGUAUUUCUAGAAAAUGAUUGCUCCAUGAUGAGCUUCCUAUAUUCAACUAUGUGCAAUAACUGAAAAUAAAAGAAUUGUGGAAAAUUUCUAAAAAUGUUGCACAGAAAAUAGGAAAAAGGAAAAUAAUAACAAGAAUAAGAAAUCACAGAAAUAUUACCAAAUCAGAAAAGUGACACUCUAAAGGACUCUAAAAGGUAAACAUUCUGAUAAAAAGUAUUUCCCAUGAAAUCUAAGAAUAUAGUUACAAUAUGGCCUCUGGAUUUACAGGCUUCAAAAAAGAUCUACAGUGGCUUAAGAAAGAAAUUACACAAAACUAGUAAGAUCAAUUUUGAGCUUUCAAGCCUUAGAAAAUAAAUUCAAGGAAAAACAAAAGUUAUCAGGAAAACGAAAGCAUAUUGUUAAUUUAAGAGGAAGAGUGGAAAUAAGAGCAUAGAAGAGUAA